GACGAACGCUGGCGGCGUGCCUAAUACAUGCAAGUCGAGCGCAGGAAAUCGGCGGAACCCUUCGGGGGGAAGUCGACGGAAUGAGCGGCGGACGGGUGAGUAACACGUAAAGAACCUGCCCUCAGGUCUGGGAUAACCACGAGAAAUCGGGGCUAAUACCGGAUGGGUCAUCGGACCGCAUGGUCCGAGGAUGAAAGGCGCUCCGGCGUCGCCUGGGGAUGGCUUUGCGGUGCAUUAGCUAGUUGGUGGGGUAAUGGCCCACCAAGGCGACGAUGCAUAGCCGACCUGCUAGGGUGAGCGGCCACACUGGGACAGAUACACGGCCCAGACUCCUACGGGAGGCAGCAGUAGGGAAGCUUCCACAAUGGACGAAAGUCUGAUGGAGCAACGCCGCGUGAACGAUGAAGGCCUUCGGGUCGUAAAGUUCUGGUGUAAGGGAAGAACAAGUGCCGCAGGCAAUGGCGGCACCUUGACGGUACCUUGCGAGAAAGCCACGGCUAACUACGUGCCAGCCGCCGCAGUAACAC
rnacentral:rRNA from 1 species